AGGCAAGUCUCACACGACUAGCUCCUGUUGAAUCCCCCAGGAUGGGAACAUAGCAAGGGUAAACGGUUGUAGCGGUGCGAUGUGAGUAGCUUGCCUUAU
rnacentral:SRP_RNA from 1 species